CAGUGCAGUUCAAUUAUGGGUUUUGCCUUUAUUGGCACUGCCGAGAACACUGGUAAUGGUUUAGCUUUGAAGAGUCUCAGCUAAACUGGAGAAAAGUGCCCCUGUUGCAAGAAGUUAUAUUGAGUGAUGUUGCUGAGUAGCACCAAUGAAUCAUGAAUUGUAACCUGCCAGUGUUAUUGCUACCACUGAAGUUGUCAGUCUUGGUAGGAACUGGAAAUCUCCAAAGCCAGUUAAAUUUAGCUCACUGCUUUCUCAUCUUCCCUGGAGAAAUCUAAAGAAGGAAAGUAUAUUCUUUCUCUGAAGAGCCCCUCCCAACCCUGGUUAGCUGGAGGUGAGAACGUCUGAA